AGCGAACGCUGGCGGCAGGCUUCACACAUGCAAGUCGAGCGGGCAUCCUUUUGGUGUCUGCGGCAGCCGGGUGAGUAACGCGUGGGAACGUGCCCUUCAGUUCGCACUAACUCAUGGAAACUUGUGCUACUACCGGAUACGUGCGAGAGCAGAAAGGUUUAUCUGCCGAAGGAUCGGCGCGCGUCUGAUUAGCUCGUUGGUGAGGUUAUGGCUCACCAAGGCGCCGAUCAGUAGCUGGUCUGCGAGGAUGAUCAGAAACACUGGAGAUGAGACACGGCCCAGAAUCGUAGGGGAGGGAGCAGAGGGGAAUACAGGACAAGGGGGGCAAAGCUGAUGAAGCCAUGCGGGGUGAGUGAUGAGGGGGGUAGGGAAGUAAAGCUGUGUGCGACGGGACGAUAAUGACGGUACCGGAGGAAUAAGCACUGGCUAACUUCGCC
rnacentral:rRNA from 1 species